UACAGAGGGUGCGAGCGUUGUCCGGAAUCACUGGGCGUAAAGGGCGCGUAGGCGGUGGGGUAAGCGUGUGGUGAAAGCUCGGGGCUCAACUCCGAGUCGGCCAUGCGAACUGCCCGACUGGAGCACACUAGAGGCGGAUGGAAUUCCGGGUGUAGCGGUGGAAUGCGUAGAGAUCCGGAAGAAUACCGGUGGUGAAGGUGGUUUGUUGGGGUGUUGUUGAUGUUGAGGCGCGAUAGUGUGGGGAGCAAACAGG
rnacentral:rRNA from 1 species